rnacentral:rRNA from 1 species
AACGAACGCUGGCGGCAGGCCUAACACAUGCAAGUCGAGCGCGCCCUUCGGGUGAGCGGCGGACGGGUUAGUAACGCGUGGGAAUAUGCCCAAAGGUACGGAAUAGCCUCUGGAAACGGAGAGUAAUACCGUAUGUGCCCUUCGGGGGAAAGGAUUAUCGCCUUUGGAUUAACCCGCGUUAGAUUAGGUAGUUGGUGGGGUAAGUGGCCUACCAAGCCUACAAUCUAUAGCUGGUUUUAGAGGAUGAUCAGCAACACUGGGACGUGAGACACGGCCC